CCAAGAACAAAAGCGAUCGGGGAAACUAAAGAAAACGGAGAAAAACAAAACGCUGGAAAACCCUGAAAAUAAAAGCCUUCAGGGGGAAAUCCACCAAUUUUCCACUUUCAAAUGUGAAUCGCUCUACCUCUGAGCAGUUCAGCCUACAUCUGAGGAAAUGCUGCAGUCUUUUAGACUGCAAACGGAAUUUACACCAGGCCUGUAUUGGAAGAAAGGCGUGUAUAAUAUCAUUAAACGUUUCAAGGAAUCGGGAGGAAUUUCAGUGCGUAAAGGCCAAGGGUGCAAGCUUAAGCUGAACGCCCGUGAUCUUCGAUUCCUCAGACAGCACUGCAUCAAGAACCACCACUCAACAAUAGCUGAUAUAACCACAUGGAAGCAGCGUCGACUUCUCUGAGCUCGGAGGCAUCUAGGAUGGACCAUCACACAGUGGAAACGUGUAUUGUGGUCAGAUGAAUCAGCAUUCUAGGUCUUUUUUGGUCUGGACCAAAGAUGAAAAGGACCAUCCAGCAAGUCCAAAAGCCAGGGUCUGUCAUGGUAUGGGGCUGUGUCAGUGCCCUUGGCAAAGGUAAUUUACAAAGGUAAUAGAUCUUAGAGCAACAUAUGCUGCCUUCAAGAUGUCAUCUUUUCCAGGGACAUCCAAGCAUUUUUCAACAAGACAAUGCAAAACCACAUGCUGCACACAUUACAAAGGCAUGGCUGUGGAACAAGAGGGUACAGGAAUGGUUUCUGCACCCAGUACACCACUCCUGAGGAAAAAAGCACUAUAUUACUCUAUAUCACUCUGUGUGUAAAUGACUGCUGCAAACAGUUGUGCCGCCGCAAUGUGCCGCCGCCGCCGUGCCGCUGCCGCCGGGCCACCGCUAGUGGGCGCCACCACGCCGCCGCCGCCGCGAAAGCUGACGCCACAGUGCCGCAGCUGUCGUGCCGCCGCCGCCGCCGGGAGGCAAGAGUCCUGGGUUCGCGCCUCGCGCUUCCCCUUUUCUUUUGUUUGCUUUUUUUUGUUCCUUUUCAGCCCCCGACGUCCGGCUGCCUUCGGGAUUCCCCGAAGUGUUUUUUGUUAUUGUUAUUCCUUUUAUUUUAUGUAUAUUAUGUUUAUGAUUUUGUAAAUAAAACCCUUUUUUAGUUAAA